UCAGCGCAGACGACGCCGCGCACGCCUUCGCGCACGCCGCGCCCGCGGACUCGGGACAACUCACUUACGAUGAAUUCAUCGCAUACGCUCAAAAGAAAGCGGAAUUCUCGUUCAUUUUCGCAUCGGAAGGGCAUCACAAGCCCAAGUCCCAGUGAGAGUCGCCUCACAUCCCGACCGUCUGCAGCCAAGUGCCCUAGAGAUGCAACAAUACUCAGAUUUAAGGCCGAGAUACGUAAACAUCACUUAGAUUUACACUUAUACACAGUUCGUGUACAAAGAAACAACGAAUUCUAAGGAAUGAACUGAAAAAAAAUGGUUUAUAUGCUCUCAUUUUUUAAACCUGUGUCUGUUUUAUGAUUUUUUAUAGAGGACAGUCGCUCUUGUGGAUGCGAGACAACGCUAUAUACAACCUUUAGCGCUAUCUAGCUUCCACAAUGGCAAUAAUCGUACUAAAAGCAGGGCGAAUCCCCGCGAAGGCAAGCGUUUGUGUGAUCCACGAAUGCUUGUCCAGGGUCUAGGUGUCCUUUGUGCGUGUGACUUAAUUGUUUGUAAAGCCCCGAUACGAAGUCUAAACUCCUUAGUAAGAGAGUCGUUUUGCUUUAAAAAAAAGCUUUAUUGGAGAGCAUAAUAUAGGUGUGUGAGU